UCCUCCUUCAGUGGGCUGAACACGUCCAUCCUCACGCUUUUGCCGAAAAAGGAGGGAUCGAUGCAGCUAACGGAUUUUAGGCCUAUAAACCUAAUUCAUGGAGUGGCCAAGAUCUUUUCGAAGGUUUUGGCAACUCACUUGGCCUUGCUGCUCCCAGGUAUUAUAUCCAGAGCAGAGAGUGCUUUUGUCUCUAGGAGAUCUAUACAUGAGAAUUUCAAAUUUGUUCGGAAUGCGGCUAGAGCCCUGCACCAGAAGAAACACCCAUCUGUGCAGAUCAGAGCUUUUGAUUCCUUGUCCUGGGAAUUCCUAUUGGAGAUAUUGCAGAUCAGAGGUUUUGGAAACAAAUGGUGCUCCUGGAUAUUAGGUCUUCUGAGCUUAGCCUCCUCUUCGGUUCUCAUCAAUGGGGAGACCAACAUGUAG
rnacentral:rRNA from 1 species